UCUAAAUUGGAAAUGGUGGAUUUGAGAA
rnacentral:piRNA from 1 species